rnacentral:ncRNA from 1 species
GGGCCGUGAGGACGGAAAGGUCGCCGUCGCCAUUCCCGACGAGGGAAUCUAGGAGAUCCAGAGGUCAUCGCCUGGCACGGUUC